rnacentral:rRNA from 1 species
CCUACGGGGGGCUGCAGUGGGGAAUAUUGGACAAUGGGGGAAACCCUGAUCCAGCAAUGCCGCGUGUGUGAAGAAGGCCUGCGGGUUGUAAAGCACUUUCGGUUGGGAAGAAAAGUUUGGCGCCAAUACCGCCGAACCUUGACGUUACUGACAGAAGAAGCACCGGCGAACUCUGUGCCAGCAGCCGCGGUAAUACAGAGGGUGCAAGUGUUAAUCGGGAUCACUGGGCGUAUAGCGCGAGGAGGUGGUGAAAUCCCCGGGCUUAACCUGGGAACUGCAUUGGAUACUACAUGGCUAGAGUAUGGUAGAGGGAAGUGGAAUUUCCGGUGUAGCGGUGAAAUGCGUAGAUAUCGGAAGGAACACCAAUGGCGAAGGCAGCUUCCUGGACUAAUACUGACACUGAGGCACGAAAGCGUGGGUAGCAAACAGGAUUAGAUACCCGUGUAGUC